UACGUAGGGUGCAAGCGUUGUCCGGAAUUAUUGGGCGUAAAGAGCUCGUAGGUGGUCUGUCGCGUCUGGUGUGAAAACUCAGGGCUUAACCCUGGGCCUGCAUCGGGUACGGGCAGACUAGAGUGUGGUAGGGGAGACUGGAAUUCCUGGUGUAGCGGUGAAAUGCGUAGAUAUCAAGCGGAACACCAGUGGCGAAGGCGAGUCCCUGGACAACUCCUGACACUGAGGCACGAAAGCUAGGGGAGCAAACAGG
rnacentral:rRNA from 1 species